rnacentral:rRNA from 1 species
GAUGAACGCUGGCGGCGUGCCUAAUACAUGCAAGUCGAGCGAACGGACGAGAAGCUUGCUUCUCUGAUGUUAGCGGCGGACGGGUGAGUAACACGUGGAUAACCUACCUAUAAGACUGGGAUAACUUCGGGAAACCGGAGCUAAUACCGGAUAAUAUUUUGAACCGCAUGGUUCAAAAGUAAAAGACGGUCUUGCUGUCACUUAUAGAUGGAUCCGCGCUGCAUUAGCUAGUUGGUAAGGUAACGGCUUACCAAGGCAACGAUGCAUAGCCGACCUGAGAGGGGGAGCGCCCACACGGGCACUGAACCAGGGUCCAGCCCCCAAGGGGGGGCGGAAGAGGGAAUUCUCCGGAAAUGGGCGAAGCCCGGAGGGAGCACCCCGGGGUGAGGAAGAAGGGUUUGCGGUUCUAAAAACUUUUUUAUGAGGGAAAAAAAUAUGUGAAAUAAACUGUGCACAUCUUGACGUUACCAAAUAAAAAGGCCACGGCAAACAACGUC